AAAGUACUCCCUCCGUUCCGAAUUACUCGUCGCAGGUAUGGAUGUAUCUAGAUGUAUUUUAGUUCUAGAUACAUCCAUUUUUGCGACAAGUAAUUUGAAACGGAGGGAGUAGUGA
rnacentral:pre_miRNA from 1 species